UACAGAGGGUGCAAGCGUUGUUCGGAAUUACUGGGCGUAAAGGGCGCGUAGGCGGCCCGCUACGUCGAACGUGAAAUCCCCAGGCUUAACCUGGGAACUGCGUCCGAUACUGGCAGGCUUGAAUCCGGGAGAGGGAUGUGGAAUUCCAGGUGUAGCGGUGAAAUGCGUAGAUAUCUGGAGGAACACCGGUGGCGAAGGCGGCAUCCUGGACCGGCAUUGACGCUGAGGCGCGAAAGCUAGGGGAGCAAACGGG
rnacentral:rRNA from 1 species